rnacentral:tRNA from 1 species
ACUUAAAUAGCUUACAGAAUAGAGCAUAAUAUUGAAGAUAUUAAGGAAAUAUAUUUAUUUUUAAGUA